rnacentral:rRNA from 1 species
GAUGAACGCUGACAGCAUGCUUAACACAUCAGCAAUGGAUUGGAGGCGGACGGGUGAGUAACGCGUAAAGAACUUGCCUCACAGGUAGGAACAACAUUUGGAAACGAAUGCUAAUACCUAAUACUGUGCGCGAGCUGUGCGUCCAAUUAGCUAGUGGGGGAGGUAACGGCUCACCAAGGCGAGGAUGGGUAGCCGGCCUGAGAGGGGGAUCGGCAACAAGGUGACUGGGGAGCGGGCAUUACUCCAACGGGAGGAAGCGGUGGGAGUCAUAGGACGAUGGACCGAUGUGUGAACAAGGAAUUCGGUGUGUACGAUUAAGUUUUCGGAAUGAAAAGUGCUUUCAGUUGGGAAGCGGUACCAAAAGAAGAAGUGACGGCUAAAUACGUGCCAGCAGCCGCGGUAAUUC